rnacentral:snRNA from 1 species
GUGCUCACUUUGGCAGCACAUAUACUAAAACUGAAACGAAACAAAGAAGAUUAGCAUGGCCUCUGCGCAAGCAUGACAUGCAAAUUUGUGAAGUGUUCCAUUUGAAA